rnacentral:tRNA from 1 species
AUGGCUUUCUCAGGCAGUUGAGUGUAGCGCUAACAACGCUAAGGUCGCAGGUUCGAUUCCUGUU